rnacentral:tRNA from 1 species
GGUGAGGUGUCCGAGUGGCUGAAGGAGCACGCCUGGAAAGCGUGUGUGCGUUAACGCGUACCGAGGGUUCGAAUCCCUCCCUCACCG